rnacentral:rRNA from 1 species
UACAGAGGGUGCAAGCGUUAAUCGGAAUUACUGGGCGUAAAGCGCGCGUAGGUGGAUCGGAAAGUUGGAUGUGAAAGCCCUGGGCUCAACCUGGGAACUGCAUUCAAAACUACCAAUCUAGAGUAUGGGAGAGGGAAGUGGAAUUUCUGGUGUAGUGGUGGAAUACGUAGAUAUCAGAAGGAACACCAAUGGCGAAGGCAACUUCCUGGCCUAAUACUGACACUGAGGUGCGAAAGCGUGGGGAGCAAACAGG